ensembl:snoRNA
UGGACUAAUGAUGAAGACUGGUGGAGUAUGAGUCAUGGAUGAUGAAUACUUGUCUGGAACUCUGAGGUCCAA